AGAGUUUGAUCCUGGCUCAGAACGAACGCUGGCGGCAGGCUUAACACAUGCAAGUCGAACGAGUAAGAGCCGUAGCAAUACGGAGUUCUGCUAGUGGCGCACGGGUGAGUAACGCGUGGGAAUAUGCCCUUUAGUACGGAAUAACAGUUGGAAACGACUGCUAAUACCGUAUACGCCCUUCGGGGGAAAGAUUUAUCGCUAAAGGAUUAGCCCGCGUGAGAUUAGGUAGUUGGUGGGGUAAUGGCCUACCAAGCCUACGAUCUCUGGCCGGUCUGAGAGGACGAUCGGCCACACUGGAACUGAGACACGGUCCAGACUCCUACGGGAGGCAGCAGUGGGGAAUAUUGGACAAUGGGCGAAAGCCUGAUCCAGCCAUGCCGCGUGAGUGAUGAAGGCCUUAGGGUUGUAAAGCUCUUUUGUCAGGGAAGAUAUUGACGGUACCUGAAGAAUAAGCACCGGCUAACUUCGUGCCAGCAGCCGCGGUAAUACGAAGGGUGCUAGCGUUGUUCGGAAUUACUGGGCGUAAAGCGCGCGCAGGCGGUCUAUCAAGUCAGAGGUGAAAUGCCGAAGCUCAACUUCGGAACUGCCUUUGAAACUGUUAGACUAGAAUAUGGGAGGGGAUAGCGGAAUUCCUAAUGUAGAGGUGAAAUUCGUAGAUAUUAGGAGGAACACCGGUGGCGAAGGCGGCUAUCUGGCCCAUUAUUGACGCUGAGGCGCGAAAGCGUGGGGAUCAAACAGGAUUAGAUACCCUGGUAGUCCACGCUGUAAACGAUGAGUGCUAGCUGUUGGGACCUUAGGUCUCAGUGGCGCAGCUAACGCAUUAAGCACUCCGCCUGGGGAGUACGGUCGCAAGAUUAAAACUCAAAGGAAUUGACGGGGACCCGCACAAGCGGUGGAGCAUGUGGUUUAAUUCGAGGCAACGCGAAGAACCUUACCAGGACUUGACAUGUCCAGUUUGGAUUUCAGAAAUGAUUUCCUUCAGUUUGGCUGGCUGGAACACAGGUGCUGCAUGGCUGUCGUCAGCUCGUGUCGUGAGAUGUUGGGUUAAGUCCCGCAACGAGCGCAACCCUCAUCUUUAGUUGCUACCAUUUAGUUGAGCACUCUAAAGAAACUGCCGGUGAUAAGCCGGAGGAAGGUGGGGAUGACGUCAAGUCUUCAUGGCCCUUAUGUCCUGGGCUACACACGUGCUACAAUGGCAGUGACAAUGCGCCGCUACCUCGCGAGGGGAAGCUAAUCGCAAAAAGCUGUCUCAGUUCGGAUUGUACUCUGCAACUCGAGUACAUGAAGUUGGAAUCGCUAGUAAUCGCGCAUCAGCAUGGCGCGGUGAAUACGUUCCCGGGUCUUGUACACACCGCCCGUCACACCAUGGGAGUUGGUUCUACCUUAAGCUGCUGUGCUAACCGCAAGGAGGCAGGCAACCACGGUAGGGUCAGUGACUGGGGUGAAGUCGUAACAAGGUA
rnacentral:rRNA from 1 species